CGACGGCUGUAGGGAAGGGAGGCAGCCGGUCCUCCCCGCGGGCCUGCAAGAAUGCGGCAGGGGGUCGGGGGCCUGGGGAGGCACUAACUCCCUGAGCCCCAGAUCCGGGGCGCAGGCCUGGCCCGGGGGCCAAUUUCCUGCCAAGUGCAGCCGAGAAGCAGAGGCGCCUGAAAAGCAAAGAGAGGGACUCUGGGGGUGCCCAUCCCCAGAGUAGGUCCCUCUGCGAAGGGAGGAAGAAGAGUGGAGGGACUCAGUGAGCGGUGAGAAGGAAAAACCUGUUUCCCGACUGGCUCAGGAGCGUCGGGGAGACUGGGGCUCUCCGCGCCAUCGUCUUCAAUGCCUCUCUGAACCGCCUUUAGGAAGAGUGCGAGAGAAAGAGAGAGCGCGCGCCAAGGAGAGGAGAAAAGAAGAUGAGGAUUAUUUGCAAACAGAUUGUCUUGUUAUUUUCUGGAUUUUGGGGACUCGCCAUGGGAGCCUUUCCAAGCAGCGUGCAAAUAGGUGGUCUCUUCAUCCGAAACACAGAUCAGGAAUACACUGCUUUUCGAUUAGCAAUUUUUCUUCAUAACACCAGCCCCAAUGCGUCGGAAGCUCCUUUUAAUUUGGUACCUCAUGUGGACAACAUUGAGACAGCCAACAGUUUUGCUGUAACAAAUGCUUUCUGCUCCCAGUACUCUAGAGGAGUAUUUGCCAUUUUUGGACUCUAUGAUAAGAGGUCAGUGCAUACCUUGACCUCAUUCUGCAGCGCCUUACACAUCUCCCUCAUCACACCAAGUUUCCCUACUGAGGGGGAGAGCCAGUUUGUGCUGCAGCUAAGGCCUUCCUUACGAGGAGCACUCUUGAGUCUGCUGGAUCACUAUGAAUGGAACUGUUUUGUCUUCCUGUAUGACACAGACAGGGGAUAUUCAAUACUUCAAGCUAUUAUGGAAAAAGCAGGACAAAAUGGUUGGCAUGUCAGUGCUAUAUGUGUGGAAAAUUUUAAUGAUGUCAGCUAUAGACAACUUCUAGAAGAACUUGAUAGAAGACAAGAGAAGAAAUUUGUAAUAGACUGUGAAAUAGAGAGGCUUCAAAACAUAUUAGAACAGAUUGUAAGUGUUGGAAAACAUGUUAAAGGCUAUCAUUAUAUCAUUGCAAAUUUGGGAUUCAAGGAUAUUUCUCUUGAGAGGUUUAUACAUGGUGGAGCCAAUGUUACAGGAUUCCAGUUGGUAGAUUUUAAUACACCUAUGGUAACCAAAUUAAUGGAUCGCUGGAAGAAACUAGAUCAGAGAGAAUAUCCAGGAUCUGAGACUCCUCCAAAGUACACAUCUGCUCUGACUUAUGAUGGAGUCCUUGUUAUGGCUGAAACUUUCCGAAAUCUUAGAAGGCAGAAAAUUGAUAUUUCAAGGAGAGGAAAUGCUGGGGAUUGUCUGGCAAAUCCUGCUGCUCCAUGGGGCCAAGGGAUUGACAUGGAGAGGACACUCAAACAGGUUCGAAUUCAAGGGUUGACAGGGAAUGUUCAAUUUGACCACUAUGGACGUAGGGUCAAUUACACAAUGGAUGUGUUUGAGCUAAAGAGCACAGGACCUAGAAAGGUUGGUUAUUGGAAUGAUAUGGAUAAAUUAGUUUUGAUUCAAGAUGUACCCACUCUUGGCAAUGACACAGCAGCUAUUGAGAACAGAACAGUGGUUGUAACCACAAUUAUGGAAUCCCCAUAUGUUAUGUACAAGAAAAAUCACGAAAUGUUUGAAGGAAAUGACAAGUAUGAAGGAUACUGUGUAGAUUUGGCAUCUGAAAUUGCAAAACAUAUUGGUAUCAAGUAUAAAAUUGCCAUUGUCCCUGAUGGAAAAUAUGGAGCAAGGGAUGCAGACACAAAAAUCUGGAAUGGGAUGGUAGGAGAACUUGUUUAUGGGAAAGCAGAGAUUGCUAUUGCCCCUCUGACAAUCACUUUGGUCCGAGAGGAGGUCAUUGACUUCUCUAAGCCCUUCAUGAGUUUGGGCAUAUCUAUCAUGAUCAAAAAGCCUCAGAAAUCUAAACCAGGAGUGUUUUCCUUCUUGGAUCCUCUGGCCUAUGAGAUUUGGAUGUGCAUAGUCUUUGCCUACAUUGGUGUCAGCGUGGUCUUGUUCCUAGUUAGUAGGUUUAGUCCCUAUGAGUGGCACACAGAAGAGCCAGAGGACGGAAAGGAAGGACCCAGCGACCAGCCUCCCAAUGAGUUCGGCAUCUUUAACAGCCUCUGGUUUUCCCUGGGUGCUUUUAUGCAGCAAGGAUGUGACAUUUCACCCAGAUCCCUCUCAGGUCGAAUUGUUGGAGGUGUUUGGUGGUUCUUUACACUCAUCAUUAUAUCAUCUUACACUGCUAACCUCGCUGCUUUCCUGACUGUUGAGCGAAUGGUCUCCCCCAUAGAAAGUGCAGAAGACUUGGCCAAACAAACAGAAAUUGCCUAUGGAACACUGGAUUCAGGAUCAACAAAAGAAUUCUUCAGAAGAUCAAAAAUAGCAGUGUAUGAAAAGAUGUGGACCUACAUGCGAUCAGCAGAGCCGUCAGUGUUCACUAGGACUACAGCUGAGGGAGUAGCUCGUGUCCGCAAAUCCAAGGGCAAAUUUGCCUUCCUCCUGGAGUCCACAAUGAAUGAAUACAUUGAGCAGCGAAAGCCGUGUGACACGAUGAAAGUGGGAGGAAAUCUGGAUUCGAAAGGCUAUGGAGUAGCAACGCCCAAGGGUUCCUCAUUAAGGAGGAGGACAGAGGAGAACUAACCAGCUCCAGGACCAAGAAAUGCUGUUAACCUCGCAGUUUUAAAACUGAAUGAACAAGGCCUCUUGGACAAAUUGAAAAACAAAUGGUGGUACGACAAAGGAGAAUGUGGCAGCGGGGGAGGUGACUCCAAGGACAAGACGAGUGCCUUGAGCCUGAGCAACGUAGCAGGCGUCUUCUACAUUCUGGUUGGCGGCUUGGGCUUGGCAAUGCUGGUGGCUUUGAUAGAGUUCUGUUACAAGUCCAGGGCAGAAGCGAAGAGAAUGAAGGUGGCAAAGAGUGCACAGACUUUUAACCCAACUUCCUCGCAGAAUACCCAGAAUUUAGCAACCUAUAGAGAAGGUUACAACGUAUAUGGAACCGAAAGUAUUAAAAUUUAGGGCUGACCUUUUCUGAAGCCAUAAGAAACAAAGCCAGAUUAUCCAUCACUGGGAGUGUGGGUGAAAAUGGCCGCGUCUUGACGCCCGACUGUCCAAAGGCUGUACACACUGGAACUGCAAUUAGACAAAGUUCAGGAUUGGCUGUCAUUGCAUCGGACCUACCAUAAAAACCAAAAAAAUAAUUGAGUGCCUUAAUUAAACUGUUGGUGACUGAUGGGAACGCAGCCCUGAGGGACACGCCACGCGCGGGUCUUCGCUAAAUCAAUCCCUUGGCUGAGAGCGGGAAGUAUGUCCUAACGCGCCGGACAUCAGCAGCAGCAACGUGUGCAUGAGCUCAGCUCGGAAACCCAAACUCAGAUUUUAUAUCAGGAAAACUCACAAUUUAGGUUUUCUCGGGUAGUGGGUGGGGGGAGCUGGGAUGGGUGUAUUAACAGCAACAACUUUCACUCGAGUGGACUUAAAAACUAAUCAGACUUGCGAGUUAGCUCAUCACCUGUGAAGUUCUUGCUCAGAAAGGCCUUGGUCUUCACCGCAAGGGAUGAAAUAGUUAUAGAAGUCAAUGAACAUGCUAACCUGUGUCUCCAAAACACCCAUAUAAUCAAUGGAAGACUAUCCAGCUGAGAAAACAAAUCACUAAACUGUGAUAAGAAAAUAAUAUACAAACAUGUAAAUCCUGUGAAAAAAAUUUAAAGGAAGUAUUUACACUUACUUUGAAGAAAAAUACUGAAACAUGCUUGCUUUUUAACUGACGUAAAUUCAGUAGAGGACAACACGAUUCUUUUUUCUAACCAUCUUAGGGAAAAAUACAUUGCAAUAAUUGAUAUAAAUGCCAUCACUGUAAUAAACUUUAGAGACUUUUUUUUAUAAAAGUUAUUGGUCAUCAUCUUCUUGUUUGCUGUAACCUUCACUCUGUCACAUGAGUUGGUGUCCACAGAUUGCAUUUGUCUUACCACCAGGAGCAAAAUUAAAAUGAAGAUGAUGGUAACAUAAAAUCAUCAGUCUGCAAUGUAGAAUCAAAAGAGACUACGGGUCACUCAUGUUAUCAAUAUUAUUUAUAAUCUUGUUCUGUGUACAAAAUUGUGGUUUUUGUACCCACCAAAAAGAAUAAAACAACAGAUGUUCUUACAAUA